AAAAAGCUCGUAGUUGGAUCUGGGUCGCAUGGUUAUGUGCCGUUGCUCUUGGCUUGGUCGUGACCUUGUCAGGGCGAUUCGGUGUCGUGGCUGUGCAGCCUUUCUGCCGUAUCUGUUUCGACAGGUGCUAAUGGGCCAUGUGCUUGUUGGCAUGCUUCCAGAUGCCUUUAAACGGGUGUCGGGGGCGGACGGCACGUUUACUUUGAACAAAUUUGAGUGCUCAAAGCAGGCUUAUGCCUGAAAAUUCUUGCAUGGAAUAAUGGAAUAGGACUUCGGUUCUAUUUUGUUGGUUUUCGGAUCCGAAGUAAUGGUUAAGAGGGACAGACGGGGGCAUUUGUAUGGCGGUGUUAGAGGUGAAAUUCUUGGAUCGCCGCCAGACAGACUACAGCGAAAGCAUUUGCCAAGGAUGUUUUCAUUGAUCUUGAGCGAAAGUCAGAGGUUCGAAGACGAUCAGAUACCGUCCUAGUUCUGACCAUAAACGAUGCCAACUGACCAUCCGUGGAUGUUCUUUAAGUGGCUCCAC
rnacentral:rRNA from 1 species